CCCUUAGAUGUUCUGGGCUGCACGCGCGCUACACUGAUGCACUCAACGAGUUUACGACCUUGCCCGAUAGGGUUGGGUAAUCUUUUUAAAAUGCAUCGUGAUGGGGAUAGAUUAUUGCAAUUAUUAAUCUUCAACGAGGAAUUCCUGGUAAGCGCGAGUCAUCAGCUCGUGCUGAUUACGUCCCUGCCCUUUGUACACACCGCCCGUCGCUCCUACCGAUUGAGUGCUCAGGUGAAUAAUUCGGACUGCAGCAAUGUUUGGAUCCCGAACGUUGCAGCGGAAAGUUUAGUGAACCUUAUCACUUAGAGGAAGGAGAAGUCGUAACA
rnacentral:rRNA from 1 species